GCGCCCUUCGGGGUGAGCGGCGGACGGGUGAGUAACGCGUGGGAAUAUGCCCUUCUCUAAGGAGUAGCCUCGGGAAACUGAGAGUAAUACCUUAUACGCCCUACGGGGGAAAGAUUUAUCGGAGAAGGAUUAGCCCGCGUUAGAUUAGGUAGUUGGUGGGGUAAUGGCCUACCAAGCCUACGAUCUAUAGCUGGUUUGAGAGGAUGAUCAGCCACACUGGGACUGAGACACGGCCCAGACUCCUACGGGAGGCAGCAGUAGGGAAUCUUAGACAAUGGGGGAAACCCUGAUCUAGCCAUGCCGCGUGUGUGAUGAAGGCCUUAGGGUCGUAAAGCACUUUCGCCAGAGAUGAUAAUGACAGUAUCUGGUAAAGAAACCCCGGCUAACUCCGUGCCAGCAGCCGCGGUAAUACGGAGGGGGUUAGCGUUGUUCGGAAUUACUGGGCGUAAAGCGCACGUAGGCGGAUUAGUAAGUUA
rnacentral:rRNA from 1 species